rnacentral:lncRNA from 1 species
GGGUGUGAUAUUAGGACCUGUAGUUCUACUAGGAUUUGAGCGUUGAAUCCUACUAGGUGUAGGACUUCUACUUGCAUGUAUGAGGGUCUUGGAGGGGACUAUAUAAACAAGGGGGUGGAGCCUCUAGGAAUCAAUCAAGUCAAAGGUAAACACCAAGGUCUUAUUCAAGGCUUGUGAGAGGCAAUUAGGAGCGCUCAAGAGGGAUAGGGUAGACAGUUCUAUAGCACUAGAUUCUUGUAUAGGCAAGAAUCAAAGGGUCCUAGAGGGUCGAGUAGGGUUGUGAGGGAGCGACAAUCACUUAUAUAUUUUGGAGUUGUACUUGAAGAAUUUGUGGUCGGUUUCGGCAAAAUCUUAUU